UACAGAGGUGGCAAGCGUUGUUCGGAAUUACUGGGCGUAAAGGGCGCGUAGGCGGCCAUCUAAGUCAGACGUGAAAUCCCCCGGCUUAACCUGGGAACUGCGUCUGAUACUGGACGGCUUGAGUAUGGGAGGGGGAUGUAGAAUUCCAGGUGUAGCGGUGAAAUGCGUAGAUAUCUGGAGGAAUACCGGUGGCGAAGGCGGCAUCCUGGACCAUUACUGACGCUGAGGCGCGAAAGCUAGGGGAGCAAACGGG
rnacentral:rRNA from 1 species